UGCCCAAGGCCAAACGGGAUAGUGAACAAACCCAGAGAUUGCAACAAUAAAGUCACUACAACUCCGAGGCUGGAGGAGCAAAGGAUCAUGCCAUUGCUUCUUACUGAGCUCAGCCAGAAGACAGCUGACUUGAAAGCUGGAAAAUGGCCUUUUAAGGGUCAACCACCUACAGUACAGAACACAGCAGAGGAAAGACAAUAAAUUGGUAUUGUCAUAAAUAGUCAAAGACAGGUACAAUAUUAUUUGCUAAAAUAACCUUAGGAGGUUUGGUUUGGCUUUCUAAGUUUCCUGUUCCUUUGUCUACUUCCGAGACAACAUCACAUGUAUAAUAUUUCUUAAUUCAUUUCCUUGGUGAUUGUAUUUUUCCCAGAGUUUCUGUUCAUUAUUCACUUUCAAGUCACUGGCUGAUAACCAGAUUCUAUGUGUCAUCUUCACUGUCGUAUAUUUUCCUGUAUUAGAUGCUUACUCUUCCUUAAAGCUGAUGUGCGUGCUCUUGAGCAGUGGUAGCCACAUUUGUGUUUUGUGACUUUGCCCUCUGGCCAUAGAAGAUUGGCACACAGGUCUAAUCUCAAAUUCCAAUCAAAUUUACCUCCUGAUAUAUGGGAAUCAUACAUUGUAAAUAUUAGUGUAUACUAAUAGUUAACUGUAUUAACGGAGGAUAUAUAAACUCAAGAAUGUGCAAUGGCCGUUUUCUGGGUACAUGAAGAAAGAGAAAGCAACUUUCAGAGAGAAAGCAGAAUAAAGUAGACUAGCAGCUGAGAUGGGAGAUCAAGUGCUAAAACCAAGUGCUCCCCCACCACCACCCUCGAAAAGAAGACACCAGGAAGGACAACAUGUAUCCUUAAUAUUUCCAGUUCCUAGUUUUGGACUUUAGGAGGGGGUUCAGUUUCAUUUCCUUCUCUUGGAUUCUGAGAAACACUCUGGUAUCCUUUACAAAUUCCUUUUUUUUUUUUUUUGGUCUAUUUCUAGGGAUUUUCUAUUGCCUGCAACUGAAAGAUCCUUGACAAAGAGGAGAUUUUUAACUAAAUUGAACACAUAGUUUAAAAUUUAAAUUACAUGCUUAUUUUCUCACAUCUCCAUUUUACCUCCUUUAAGAUAGUAAGUAAGAUAAAGAUAUGGAAUAUUGACACUUAUUUUCACCUUGAUAAUCUUCCUACUGAAUCUACCAUGUAUUUAUUGAUAUAGUAUGUCCUGUUAGAUUGGGACUUUGAAUUGGUAAAAGAGGAAAGCUAUAAUAAGCCUCAGAACUGACUUGGAAUGUUGAUUCAAUGCCUGCAUAAUGAUAGUAUCUACAUACAAGCACAUUAUAAUGUUCUGACACACAUAAGGAGACUGUGUCACCCUGUCACAAUUUCCUGUCUUAAAGGAAGACCAUAUAAAAUCCCAGUCUCAGCUCUCUAACACCACUAGAUUUUCUGUGGCAUAAGGGACAAUUGACAGACCACUUUACCUCAGUCUGAACUUCGUGGAGAGCCUUCUUUUACUUUCAGCUCUACCAUAAGAUAACCAUUUGUGAUUAUUGUAUAAAUAGGUUGAAACAAGGCACUCAAUUGUGUUUAUUGCCAUAUCCCUCCAAAGGAGUCCACCAAAUCUCAUUCUUGUAGGAAAAGCAAGAAAGAAAUAGCAACAUGUCAUUCAUAUUGUCACAUUCCUCAGAGCACUGGACCCCCAGAAACAUCUGAGUUGUCAGGCUACAUACUGUAUUUGAUAGUAUUUAUAUUUCACUCACAUUCAUUUAUCUGACCAAGAACUUUGUGUACUUGAACUCCCAGUUCUAUGGAUCAUUUCUGUCUGAUUUUUUUUUAAUGCAAAGAAUGAGCAUGACAUCAGGCAGGUGGUCUAAAAGAGCUGACCUCUUAAAAAUGAUUUAACCUGUGAAGUGCUCAAUAUCCUUCCAAUAAAUUGCCAUUUGCUUUACUUAGCCUGGGUCAGUUUCUUUGUUCUCAACUGGAAACCCUGGUGAUUCUCAAAUUUGUACCAUGAAGGUAGUUGCAGGCAACAGAUGUUCAGGAAUAUUGGGCUGUUUUAGAAUUGGUUAUGACUGUGAUGAAGCAAGAAGUAGUGAAACUAUCAAUCAUAUUUCAAGACAUGAAACUAGCAUCAGACAACAGAGAAUUACAUUAUUACCUCUGAUUAAUAGGAUCUGGAAACAACCAGGAUUCUAGAAAAUUUGACAGUAGGAGUCAGCAAGAGGGGAGGUCAGCAAAAUUUGUGACAAUUGACUGUUUUUUAAAUAAAAGAUUUUUUUCCCCAUAA